CCUACGUGAGGCAGCAGUCGAGAAUCAUUCACAAUGGGCGAAAGCCUGACGCAGCGACGCCGCGUGAGGGAUGAAGGUCUUCGGAUCGUAAACCUCUGUCAGCAGGGAAGAACGGUCACUGUGCUAAUCAGCAGUGAAUUGACGGUACCUGCAAAGGAAGCACCGGCUAACUCCGUGCCAGCAGCCGCGGUAAUACGGAGGGUGCGAGCGUUAAUCGGAAUUACUGGGCGUAAAGCGCUCGUAGGCGGUAUGGCAAGUCAAGGGUGAAAUCCCCGCGCUCAACGUGGGAACUGCCUUUGAAACUGGCAAACUGGAGUGUGUGAGAGGAUAGUGGAAUUCCAGGUGUAGGAGUGAAAUCCGUAGAUAUCUGGAGGAACAUCAGUGGCGAAGGCGACUAUCUGGCACAUAACUGACGCUGAGGAGCGAAAGCGUGGGUAGCAAACAGGAUUAGAUACCCUUGUAGUC
rnacentral:rRNA from 1 species